UGGGGAAUUUUGGACAAUGGGGGCAACCCUGAUCCAGCCAUGCCGCGUGAGUGAAGAAGGCCUUCGGGUUGUAAAGCUCUUUUGUCCGGGAAGAAAAGGCUCUCUCUAAUACGGGGGGUUCUUGACGGUACUGGAAGAAUAAGCACCGGCUAACUACGUGCCAGCAGCCGCGGUAAUACGUAGGGUGCGAGCGUUAAUCGGAAUUACUGGGCGUAAAGCGUGCGCAGGCGGUUCGUUAAGUCAGAUGUGAAAGCCCCGGGCUCAACCUGGGAACUGCAUUUGAGACUGGCGAGCUGGAGUCUGGCAGAGGGGGGUGGAAUUCCACGUGUAGCAGUGAAAUGCGUAGAGAUGUGGAGGAACACCGAUGGCGAAGGCAGCCCCCUGGGCUGAGACUGACGCUCAGGCACGAAAGCGUGGGGAGCAAACAGGAUUAGAUACCCCUGUAGUCC
rnacentral:rRNA from 1 species